rnacentral:rRNA from 1 species
GUAACAGGUCUUCGGAUGCUGACGAGUGGCGAACGGGUGAGUAAUACAUCGGAACGUGCCCGAUCGUGGGGGAUAACGGAGCGAAAGCUUUGCUAAUACCGCAUACGAUCUACGGAUGAAAGCAGGGGACCGCAAGGCCUUGCGCGGACGGAGCGGCCGAUGGCAGAUUAGGUAGUUGGUGGGAUAAAAGCUUACCAAGCCGACGAUCUGUAGCUGGUCUGAGAGGACGACCAGCCACACUGGGACUGAGACACGGCCCAGACUCCUACGGGAGGCAGCAGUGGGGAAUUUUGGACAAUGGGCGAAAGCCUGAUCCAGCCAUGCCGCGUGCAGGAUGAAGGCCUUCGGGUUGUAAACUGCUUUUGUACGGAACGAAAAGACUCCUUCUAAUAAAGGGGGUCCAUGACGGUACCGUAAGAAUAAGCACCGGCUAACUACGUGCCAGCAGCCGCGGUAAUACGUAGGGUGCAAGCGUUAAUCGGAAUUACUGGGCGUAAAGCGUGCGCAGGCGGUUAUAUAAGACAGAUGUGAAAUCCCCGGGCUCAACCUGGGAACUGCAUUUGUGACUGUAUAGCUAGAGUAC